GUAACUGUUUUCUUUUAAAAGCAAUUUAUUUACAAAGUAAGCAAUUUAUAUAGUUAAUGAGUCACAUCAAAAUGGCUUGGUUGUUACAAGUGGACAGAUUAACUCCAAUGUGAGACUUUGGAUCGCUAGGUGGCAGCAGACUUACCAGGUAAAUUUCCAUUGUUUACAUAGUCCUGAGCAUGCGCUCAUUAACAAGAGAGACCAAUGAAUUUACCCGGGAAGUCUGCUGCCACCAAGCGUCCAUAAAAUCCCCAAUUGGUUUGCUCUCACCGCAGUUCUAGAUUAAAAAAUAUCUCCAAUGUUUACUUAAAGUACUUAUUUAGACAUAGUGUAAGUGUUUAAUGGUAGUCUUCAGUGAAUUCUUUAGGCAUAAACUACUGAACUUUUUUGGAAUUUUUAUUGAAUAAGUACUGCCUAAUAAAAUCUCUUUCAGAUUAAAAAAGUUUUCCUGAAUGUUUGAAUGCAAGCUUAAUCUUUCACAAGCCGAUUUUACAUGAGCAUAAUUUGUAACAUUUGCAUUGAGAAACACAAAAACAACGUACUGAGAUAGGUUCAAGUAGUACCUUAGACUUGCAUGAAAAAGUCAGUGAAAAGCCAUUGAACUUGCAUGACAUCUGAGUGGUCUUACAAUGUAGAGGCUAGCCUGUGGUUCACAUGGUUCCCACUGGUCAAAGUGACGAGGGGACGAAUGAAAGCCUAACAGCACCAUAGCUUCUACAUUGUUUAGACCACUGCAGUUCACUGGUUUGCGAUUAAUGGCUUGAUCUAAUGUCUAGAGACAGCCAACAACCAUACACAAUUUGGAAUAAAAGUAUGGCACAAAAGUUUACUCAUCUGGCGGCUGGUAUAACCGAAUAAACUUGCCUGAACAUUUUGACUGUUUCUACAAUUUAAGCAGUAACUUGUGACCAAGCAAGUCAUUGUACCAGAUUCCAUUCAAAUCUAACUCCCAAAAUAAUGAAGUGUCUAUCCAUAACCAUUUAACAAAAGCAAUUUCGGACCAGUGGGAUGGAAAUUUGCGCUUUAUAAUUAAAAGUAAAACAUUCUUUGGAAAAUCUUCUCUCUUUGCAUUAAAAGUACAUCAACAUAAUAUAAAGUGUAUUAUAAUAUUCUGUAAUGAUACAAACUAACUUUGAAAAUUCACAAACAAAUUAUUAAAAAGAAGCUCGCCCAGCAUGUAUAUAUCUUUAUUGAAAUCGCAAGGAAUUAUCUUAUAGCAUUACAAGUACUUGUAUUUUACUUACAUUUACCAGUUCGUAGUGCAUAAGGUUUUAUUUAAGUAUUUGAAAACAAUUAAUAUUCAAUGUUAUGUAAAAAUAUAUAUUUUCAUUAUUAGUACAUGGAGGUCUUUUGAAUACAAAAGAUAUGCAAGAAACUUUAAACAUUCACAAUACACCGCCACUCUCACAUGACAUGGAUACUCCACACAACACAUUUUGCACAAACUAUACAGAUAUUACUGAAACCUUUUCCCUGCCUUUUUGAGGUCACCAUGUUGCUAAGCCAGUUUCAUACAGCUUAGCCCAAUUACAUAAAGCUGUCAAGGCAAAAAUAUAGCUAACAAGUUGAGAUAUGGCCACGUUUGAAUCAAGUGACUUCGGCUAUGGCUAUUGGCAGCAGCAACAAUUGUUGACGAAUAGGCCUUUUUAUCACGAUUAAUUCUGACACAGACUACGCCUCAAAGGCAUCUUCAGCCAAUGUUGCCCCGAUGUAUACAACAGAAAAUUGGCUAGUGAUUUAAUCAAUGGCCAAUUGGACCAAACGUUAUUAGUUAUGUCCACGAACAUGCACCCAUAGUCUACAGUAAACUUCACAGUACUGAGUAUAUACGCUCACUUCCAUGACAGUAUAUUGACACAACAUAAUAUGCUGAGGUUCAUUUGAAUAAUAAACAAGUUAUUGGCAUGUCUUGCAUAAUUACAACAGCAUAAACAAAAUCAAGUACGUCACGGUUGAUUGUAUUCAAUCAACUCUAUUAAUUUGGAUUAAUACAAACUUUGGUAAUAAUUACAGUAUAUACAAGGCACAGCAAGUUACACCCAGAAUGGUACUAAGUCUAAUGGAUUUGCUAAGCUGAUACGAGAGAGUUACAUCGGAGCAAGUGUUGGCAGGAAGUUUAAAUUUAGAUCAGCACCCUGUUUCAAUCCAAAGAGUUUUCUUAUUCAGAUUUACCGGGAGGAGGUUUCCUCCUGCAAUGGGAGGAGCUGCAUACAGCAAUGGAAGACCAAUGUGUUUGCAGGGCCAUCAUCUACUGAAUGAAUGAAUGGCCACAAAAAGCCAUUUUCAAGUAAGAUUUGCAUCCAGUCACAAUGGCCAUUUUAAUUUGAAUUCCUCAUACUAGAGACAACUGCUAGUUAAAUAAUUUGGGUAGGUAUUUUGUUAAGUUUUGUAAGGCUGUGUCUGAAACGGCGACUUCGUCUACAGCUACGGUACACGACACUUGAGCCGGUAACCUGUAAGCAAGGAUACUUUUGUAACAAUUAAAACAGUAUUCUUUCCAAAGUUCUAAGUAUUACAAAAGCUUCAAUUACAAUUUCAAUGAUUUGUUGUUUAGUGAUUUUUUUAAGAGUUAUCAUUCCAUAAGCACCUACUUCAUUCUCUAGUGCUAUGGUACCUUAAACUUGGAUGACUUAAAGAUACCUGUGACCAUACUUUUUUUGAGUGAAAACUGACCAAUAACAAUUGUGUUACUCUUUUCCGUAAAUAACCAAUAAGUAAAAGGUUCACUUAAAAAGGUGAUGAUUGUAUGUUUGAUAAGUUCAAAAGAUAUUUACAAUUCGAAGUUUCAAGAAUGCCCUUAAUUUUAAUUUUCCAUUACACAAGAAGACCUUCACUAUUUGGUCCUCUUACGGUAAAGGUUUUUCAUAUUUGCAUGCUGUAAAACAAAAAAAGAAGAUAAAUCUUUAAAAACAACAAGUAACCCGACGUGACUUCAGUGAAAUUUGACCACCAUAUAUGCAACACAUCUGCAGGUACAUACAUUAUCUCAUUCCUUGAAUGCACUCACACAUGUAAUCAUGCCAUAAUAUGUCUCAAAUAUUAAAGACACGAGUUGAAAAAUUAGGAUAGUUCUUUGGGGUUUGUCCAUCUGAAAAGUUUAUGAGUCAAGUAAAACCAACCCCCCCGAAAAGGUAGACCAUUUGGGAAUUUGAGCUGAAUCUGGAGAAGUUUCUUUUCAAAGUGCAGCACCAAUGAUGUGACAAAUGUAGACAGAUACAAAAUGAAGAGGGGGUGGGGAACAGGGAGAAGAAAAAGUGGAAGGGUUUUCCAUAUACUUCCUGUACCUUGCUGAAAAAGUAUGCAGACUAUACAUAAUCUACUCCACAGUUAUGUACAGUAGCAAAACAUAGACUACAUAUUUGUGGCAAUUUCAUGUAACAAGUUUUAAAGUGGACUCUAGUAAACAAAAGCUUUGUUGAUAAAGUAUAAACAGAAGCUUCUUUGAAAGCUUUUGCUGAGUGUGGUGUAAACAGUUUCGUUGUAAGUAUUAGUAAUUCUGAUUAUACAUGGAUGUCCUCUCUUCAUGGAAAGGAAUUCAUGUAAGUUAACGACAGGAAUAACUCAUUUUGUUAAUUCAUUUCAAUUUCUGUCAGAAUGCAGCGGCUUUCUCUUGAUAAAACAAAGUGAUAUUUAACUUCUUGAAAAAAAAAUUGAUAUGUGAUUUGUUUUACAAAUAAAA